rnacentral:rRNA from 1 species
GACGAACGCUGGCGGCGUGCUUAACACAUGCAAGUCGAACGGAAAGGCCCUGCUUUUGUGGGGUGCUCGAGUGGCGAACGGGUGAGUAACACGUGAGUAACCUGCCCUUGACUUUGGGAUAACUUCAGGAAACUGGGGCUAAUACCGGAUAGGAGCUCCUGCUGCAUGGUGGGGGUUGGAAAGUUUCGGCGGUUGGGGAUGGACUCGCGGCUUAUCAGCUUGUUGGUGGGGUAGUGGCUUACCAAGGCUUUGACGGGUAGCCGGCCUGAGAGGGUGACCGGCCACAUUAGGACUGAGAUACGGCCCAGGCUCCUACGGGAGGCAGCGGUGGGGAAUAUUGCACAAUGGGCGGAAGCCUGAUACAGCAACGCCGCGUGCGGGAUGACGGCCGUCGGGUUGUAAACCGCUUUCGCCUGUGACGGAGCGUGAGUGACGGUAAUGAGUAAAGAAGCACCGGCUAACUACGUG